rnacentral:rRNA from 1 species
UUAUCGCUUAGAGAGGGGCCUGCUUCCUAUCAGCUAGUUGGUGAGGUAAUAGCUCACCAAGGCAAUGACGGGUAAUUGGUCUGAGAGGAUGACCAGUCACAAUGGAACUGAGACACGGUCCAUACUCCUACGGGAGGCAGCAGUGAGGAAUCUUCCACAAUGGGCGAAAGCCUGAUGGAGCGACACCGCGUGAAGGAUGAAGGAUUUGUUUCUGUAAACUUCUUUUCUGUGGGAAGAUAAUGACGGUACCACAGGAAUAAGGGACGGCUAACUACGUGCCAGCAGCCGCGGUAAUACGUAGGUCCCAAGCGUUAUCCGGAAUUACUGGGCGUAAAGCGUCUGUAGGUGGAUAAGUAAGUUUUGUAUGAAAGACCGAAGCUCAACUUCGUGUUUGUAUAAAAUACUGCUUGUCUAGAGUCAGGGAGAGGUAAGUAGAAUUGUAUGAGUAGGGGUGCAAUCCGUAGAUACAUACAAGAAUACCAAAAGCGAAGGCAACUUACUGGAACUGUACUGACACUGAGAGACGAAAGCGUGGGGAGCGAAAAGGAUUAGAUACCCUUGUAGUCCACGCCCUAAACGAUGAUAGUUAAGUGUUCCGCUUGGCGGGAGUGCUGUAGCAAACGCGUUAAACUAUCCGCCUGAGGAGUACGGCCGCAAGGUUAAAACUCAAAUGAAUAGACGGGGACCCACACAAGCAGUGGAUCAUGUGGUUUAAUUCGACAAUAAACGGGGAAUCUUACCCAGGCUUGACAUCUACCGAAUCUUUUAGAAAUAGAAGAGUGCCUUANAGGGAAUUGUAAGACAGGUGCUGCAUGGUUGUCGUCAGCUCGUGCCUUGAGGUGUUCGGUUAAGUCCGUUAACGAGCGCAACCCAUGUCUUUAGUUAUUAUGUCUAAAGAGACUGCCUUGGUUAACAAGGAGGAAGGUGUGGAUGACGUCGAAUCAGCAUGGCUUUUACGUCUGGGGCUACACACAUGAUACAAUGGUAUAUACAAAGAGUCGCAAAAUGGUAACAUUAAGCUAAUCUUCNNNNNNNNNNNNNNNNNNNNNNNNNNNNNNGCAACUCGACCUCAUGAAGUUGGAAUUGCUAGUAAUCGUAAAUCAGAUAUGUUACGGUGAAUAUGUUCCUGGGUCUUGUACUCACCGCCCGUCACGGCAUG